GAGUUUGAUCCUGGCUCAGAUUGAACGCUGGCGGAAUGCUUUACACAUGCAAGUCGAGCGGCAGCGCGGGGCAACCUGGCGGCGAGCGGCGAACGGGUGAGUAAUGCAUCGGAACAUGUCCAUGUCGUGGGGGAUAGCCCGGCGAAAGCCGGAUUAAUACCGCAUAUGCCCGAGAGGGGAAAGUGGGGGACCGCAAGGCCUCACGCGAUUGGGUUGGCCGAUGUCCGAUUAGCUAGUUGGCGGGGUAAGAGCCCACCAAGGCGAUGAUCGGUAGCUGGUCUGAGAGGAUGAUCAGCCACACUGGGACUGAGACACGGCCCAGACUCCUACGGGAGGCAGCAGUGGGGAAUUUUGGACAAUGGGGGAAACCCUGAUCCAGCCAUUCCGCGUGAGUGAAGAAGGCC
rnacentral:rRNA from 1 species